UACGGGGGGAGCAAGCGUUGUUCGGAUUUACUGGGCGUAAAGGGCGCGUAGGCGGUCAGCACAAGUCAGUUGUGAAAUCUCCGGGCUUAACUCGGAAAGGUCAACUGAUACUGUGCGACUAGAGUGCAGAAGGGGGCAACUGGAAUUCUCGGUGUAGCGGUGAAAUGCGUAGAUAUCGAGAGGAACACCUGCGGCGAAGGCGACUACCUGGCCUGUUCUUGACGCUGAGGCGCGAAAGCUAGGGGAGCAAACGGG
rnacentral:rRNA from 1 species